rnacentral:rRNA from 1 species
GACGAACGCUGGCGGCGUGCCUAAUACAUGCAAGUAGGACGAGUUGCGAACGGGUGAGUAACGCGUGGUAACCUACCUAUUAGAGGGGGAUAACUACUGGAAAAGGUAGCUAAUACCGCAUACCAUCGGCUUUGCCCAGGUGGGGUUAGCUAGUAGGUGGGGGAAGCGCUCACCUAGGCGACGAUCCCUAGCUGGUCUGAGAGGAGGACAGGCCACACUGGAACUGAGACACGGUCCAGACUCCUACGGUAGGCAGCAGUGGGGAAUAUUGCACAAUGGGCGCAAGCCUGAUGCAGCCAUGCCGCGUGUAUGAAGAAGGCCUUCGGGUUGUAAAGUACUUUCAGCGAGGAGGCGUUACUCGCAGAAGAAGCACCGGCUAACUCCGUGCCAGCAGCCGCGGUAAUUC